GAUGAACGCUGGCGGCGUGCCUAACACAUGCAAGUCGAGCGAUUCUCUUCGGAGAAGAGCGGCGGACGGGUGAGUAACGCGUGGGUAACCUGCCCUGUACACACGGAUAACAUACCGAAAGGUAUGCUAAUACGAGAUAAUAUGCUUUUAUCGCAUGGUAGAAGUAUCAAAGUUUUUGCGGUACAGGAUGGACCCGCGUCUGAUUAGCUAGUUGGUAAGGUAACGGCUUACCAAGGCGACGAUCAGUAGCCGACCUGAGAGGGUGAUCGGCCACAUUGGAACUGAGACACGGUCCAAACUCCUACGGGAGGCAGCAGUGGGGAAUAUUGCACAAUGGGCGAAAGCCUGAUGCAGCAACGCCGCGUGAGCGAUGAAGGCCUCGGUCGUAAGACUCUGUCCUCAACGGAAGGAUAAUAGACGGUACGUUGUAGGAGGGAAGGACCCCGGGCCGUAACCUAACCGUUGGCCACGCAGCCGCCGGUAACGUACAUACUACGUA
rnacentral:rRNA from 1 species